CAUGUUUGGAGCUUGAUUAUUGCAGAGGAUGGAAUUUUCUGACGUUUUGAAAAACAUGGAAAUGAAAAGUGCACCUCCUAUUAAACCUACUAAUGCUAUAACGAGGCACCAUGAUUUCUCUGCCUUGAUAUGGCUAUGACUCUGUUUUUGCAUGUUUUUUGAAGGAUGGAUUUGGACGAAGAAGGUGUGAUAUCAAGUAUGAAACUUGUUUGUCUAGGGAACAAAAAAUUAAAGGCUUUUAUAAGAAUUUUUCAUGAGAGUACUGCCAUGCACGUUGUCGACGUGAUUAGUCAUGGAUAUAUAGAUAUUCGUAUUGCAGCAAAUAUUAGCAUCCAUUAUUUUUGCUUGAAAUGGCUAUGACUCUGUUUUUGCAUGUUUUUUGAAGGAUGGAUUUGGACGAAGAAGGUGUGAUAUCAAGUAUGAAAC
rnacentral:lncRNA from 1 species